rnacentral:rRNA from 2 species
AAGUCUUGACAUCCCGAUGACCGGCUCGUAACGGAGCCUUCUCUACGGAGCAGCGGAGACAGGUGGUGCAUGGUU